UACAGAGGGGGCAAGCGUUGUUCGGAAUUACUGGGCGUAAAGGGCGCGUAGGCGGCGUGCUAAGUCGAACGUGAAAUCCCCGGGCUCAACCCGGGAACUGCGUCCGAGACUGGCAUGCUUGAAUCCGGGAGAGGGAUGUGGAAUUCCAGGUGUAGCGGUGAAAUGCGUAGAUAUCUGGAGGAACAUCGGUGGCGAAGGCGGCAUCCUGGACCGGUAUUGUCGCUGAGGCGCGAAAGCCAGGGGAGCAAACGGG
rnacentral:rRNA from 1 species